GCCCAGCUCCCUGCUCCUGCGUCUGCAUUGCUUCUGGACUGUGCCAGCAUGAACAUUUGUGAAAUCAAGCAAUAAAUGAGACUGAACUGAGAAGACUAGAGAACAACCUGCUUUCCUUCCGUUUUGCUGACCUAGUUCACCAGAGUAAUAAAUGUGUCAGCAUGAUACUGGGGAUAGCGCUGAAACAACCAAGAACAGGAACAGCUUAAAUGGUCUUGUUCUGCUGCCGAGGGCAUACCCAUGUGUUGACUUGCUUUGCCGUUUAGGCCCUAUUCAGUGUCUCCUUAAAAACACUAUUGACACACCUACCACCUCCAAAACUGGAACUCUUCGUCUCAGUGGGUAAUUCUAUUAGUCAUCUUAUCAUGAAUCUUUGGCCUAGGCUGGGCCAUGGCGUUUGUCUCUGACAAGGUUUGGGUUUAUGGCAUUGUACUAUGAUGUGAUGGCAUUUUUUGGUUUCUCUUCACUGAAUGUUUCAUGAAUCCAUUUUUGACAUGUCUGAGAAAUCAUUUUUGUUUGCAUAUUUAUGGAUAUCUUAAUUCCUUUUUUCAACAGUGAAAACCUAAUAAUCUUUAUACAUGUGACUGCAUUGCAGCUAUUGCUGGUUUCUCUUUCUCUGGAGUUUGAUCUGUGACCUGUGUAAGUCAUCUUGCAAAACAAUAUGCAUAAGGGGUGUAAUCCACAGACUGUAUACUGAAUUCAUCCCUCAGACAGCCAGUUAUGUCCUGCUGAAAAAUGAGGUCUUGAAGCCAACUAAAUAGGCCUUUUAACGCAAAAUGGAAAGCGUCACAAACUAACCUUAUCAAAAGAUGCAUUGUGCUCCAUAGAGACGGUUUCAGAUGAUAUGAGAUUAUUAUCCAAAGCCUUGGAAAGCUCUCUGAAUUCACAUCCUUUCUGUGCAUUGUGUUUGCUUAGAGGAUGCGAUAAACGUUGUCACUAUGUUACACAAGAGCGUACAAUAAUAACUGGGGCUGGCUGGGAAGUGAAAUUUUUAUUCUACAGGAAAUUCCAGCUUGUCAAUAUUUUGUUUCAUGAAGUGCUGGAACAAAACAUGUUGGCUCUGCAGCCUUUUUGGCAAGAAAUAAAACAAUCUAUUUCUUUGCCAGCUGACAAGCCUGGGAAGCCAAGAAACCAACUGAGCAGUCGGCCUGAUGCCAGGGAGCUGGAUAGCCAGUCAACUGAGCUACAGUAAGAAGCCAGCUUGGCCAGCAGCCACAGCCAGAUCACGGCUAAAGCUUCUGUAGAAAGUUUUGAUGGAACCAGGACAAUUCAGAAUUUUCAGUGCCAGUCUGUUCAAUUAGAAGAUGGUUAAACAAACCCUCUUAAUAAUCAACUACUGUCAGUAAAGGAUGUAACUGUGCUGCAAUUUGUGUUCCUUAUGGAUUUCUUCAGCUUUUGCCUUAUGUUAUACACCCUAUACACUUCUCUUGUUUGCUUCCAAGUAGUUGCUGCAUAUGAUUCCUCCUUAAAGCCCAGACAUGUCAAACACCAUCAUCACUACAACUGUGGUAACUCCAGGGAACAAUAAUUUCCUUGUAAAUGUUUAGUGGUAAUUAAAUUUUCUGCAACUUCAUCUAUUUAAGUAGUCUCUAACAUUCCUGCUGUGAAAUCGAGGAAAAACAGAUGCUUUACUGAGAUGCAUUUCAGAUCUUGCUCCUUCCACAUAUAAAUAAACCUGACUUAUUUUCUCUCUAAAAUUCAGCUAUUGUGAAGAUGCUACAGGAUCCGGAUUCCAAGUGGAUUUAAUAUCAGUUGUUUGCUUUUCAUUGACCUUUAUAUUCUCUAAGCAUGGCGCAGUUUAUUGCUGUUUUUACAGAGUUUAUUCUUGAACUGGAAGUUGUUUGCAUAGUGAGUAUUUUCCCACAACAAUAAUAGUUAAUUGUACGGUUUAUGGUGCACUUUCUUCUUCACUUCUGCUGGACUUGCUACACAGUUUUUUGUGUGCUGCUGCAACAUAUCUUGAAAUGCACUCUUCAUCCCAAAUGAAGUAACUUGAGCAUAUGUUUAAGGUUUAAGUUAGUCUCAAUAUGAUAAUUUGGCUUGCCUGGUUUUAUAUUCCACACACAAAAAACUGUGUGUCAUUUAAGUCUUUUGAUUCUUAAUUUCCUCAGCAUUGCCACAUACUCAGAGAUUAUUUCAGUUCCCCUCUGAUUCAGUCUAUAAUAUAAAUGCUCUAUAAACAUGAGAACACUUCAAUUACAGUGUUAUUUUCUUUUUCCAUCAUAAUAUUGACUGGAAACUACCAAAUGCUUAUACAUCUUGGUGAUACCUUUUCAACCAAGUAAGAGUAUUAACAGCUUCUCCCAAAUUUCCUUUUCAGUUCUCUCUCUCUCAGAAACAACAACAAAAACAAC